GAGCGACAUGGAUGCUAAUAACGGCAACGCUAAGCGUAAGAACAGCGCCGGAGACAGUAAAUAUCUGCCGGAGUUACUUGCGGAGAAAGACAGUCUGGACUCCUCGUUCACGCACGCCAUGAAGCUGCUCUCUGCAGAGAUUGAAAGGGUCCAGAAAGGUGAGCCCAAAAAAGAGUCCGAGACGUAUCUGGAUCUGUUCACCGCCAAGAACGUGAGGGUGAAAGAAAGAGUGCUCAUUCCUGUAAAGCAAUACCCUCGAUUCAAUUUUGUGGGAAAGAUUCUGGGGCCGCAGGGCAGCACCAUCAAACGCCUGCAGGAGGAUACCGGUGCAAAGAUCUCCGUGCUGGGCAAAGGAUCCAUGAGAGAUAAGAACAAGGAAGAGGAGCUGAGGAAGGGUGGAGAUCUGAAGUAUGCACACCUGACCAUGGAGCUACACGUGCACAUUGAGGUUUUUGCACCAAUUCCUGAUUGCUACCUGCGUAUGGCUCAUGCAAUGGAUGAGGUCAAGAAGUUCCUAAUGCCUGUGGAAGGGCUUGAUGAGAUGCACCCGGAUGCAUUCAUGGAUCCAGGGUUUCUGAAUGGCUCUCAGGAUAUUCAUGGCCCUGGCAGAGGUCUCCCUCAUGGCCGAGGUCGUGGAGGCCCACCACCCCCAAUGGGACCUAGGGGUCGAGGCAUGCCGCCUCGCGGAGCACCCCGUGGAGGAGCGCCUAGAGGAGGUCCAGGGCGUGGAGCUGCAGCGAGGGGAGCCCCCGCAGGAAGAGGUGGUCCUCCGUCCCAAACACCAGCCAGAGGAGGCACAGGAGCCACCCGCUCAAGACCACCAGCCUCUGCUCAGAGGAUGACACCAGCCACCGCUCUCUCCCACCAACAGCACCCAGCCAAACCUGAAACCUAUGGCGAAUAUGCAUAUGAAGAACCAUAUGCAGAGCCUUCCUAUGAAGGGUAUGAGAGCUACUACAGUCAGCCUGCUCCACAGCAAGACACAGAGUAUUAUGAUUACGGUCAUGGAGAGGCACAAGAAACUUACGAGUCUUACACUGAAGAUGACUGGGAGGGCGGAGCUUGGGGCGGCGCCGGUGGAAAGGCUCCGACUUCUCGACAGGGCAAAUCGUUUCGGGAGCAUCCAUACGGCAGAUUCUGAGAGUUGUCCUUCACUACGGUUGCCUGGCAACUUCCUCCCCUCGUAACCUCUUGUAACCACCUAAAUGACCGCUGCCGAGAGGUUCUUUCCAGGCUGGCUUUACCAGGCAGCUGCUACAGGCUUUUGGUGCCCUUUUGUCCCGAAGAGGAAAAGGAGAGUGCCUUUUUAUACAAUCACUUGUGACACAGGAAUGUUUUAUUUUUUUUUUGUGUCUUUUUAAAUUAUUAUCGUUACUUUUUAUACAUCCACUUUUUUGGAUCCCAAUAAAAGAUUUUAACAGUUUUGACUUUUGUGUUACUAAAUGUUUCCAAAGUAAUUGGUAUUGCAGAAGUGUGCACAAGAAUGCUUUAAGUGAAGAGCUUAUUUGGCUGUUGUAAUCUAAAUUUAGGGACUUCAAAAAAAAAUAGAAAAAU